rnacentral:rRNA from 1 species
UAACACAUGCAAGUCGAGGGGUAACAGGGUGUAUUAAUACACCGCUGACGACCGGCGCACGGGUGAGUAACGCGUACGCAACCUGCCUUUGACAGAGGGAUAACCCAUGGAAACGUGGAUUAAUACCUCAUAGUCUCUUUUUUCUUCCUGGGAAAUAGAGUAAAACGUCAGUGGUCAAAGAUGGGCAUGCGUCCUAUUAGGCAGUUGGCGGGGUAACGGCCCACCAAACCGAUGAUAGGUAGGGGUUCUGAGAGGAAGGUCCCCCACACUGGUACUGAGACACGGACCAGACUCCUACGGGAGGCAGCAGUGAGGAAUAUUGGUCAAUGGUCGAGAGACUGAACCAGCCAAGUCGCGUGAGGGAAGACUGCCCUAUGGGUUGUAAACCUCUUUUCUACUGGGAGAAUAAGCCUUAUGUAUAAGGUGAUGACAGUACAGUAGGAAUAAGCAUCGGCUAACUCCGUGCCAGCAGCCGCGGUAAUACGGAGGAUGCGAGCGUUAUCCGGAUUUAUUGGGUUUAAAGGGUGCGUAGGCGGCUUUAUAAGUUAGUGGUAAAAUUUCGGAGCUUCACUCCGGUCCGCCAUUAAAACUGUAGAGCUAGAGAAUGGACGAGGUAGGCGGAAUAAGUUAAGUAGCGGUGAAAUGCAUAGAUAUAACUUAGAACUCCGAUAGCGAAGGCAGCUUACCAGACCAUAACUGACGCUGAUGCACGAGAGCGUGGGUAGCGAACAGGAUUAGAUACCCUGGUAGUCCACGCCGUAAACGAUGCUCACCGGCCCUUAGCGAUAAAGACAGUUAGGGGUUAAUUGAAAGAAUUAAGUGAGCCCCCUGGGGAGUACGUCCGCAACGAGGAACCUCAAGGAUUGACGGGGGCCCGCACAAGCGGAGGAACAUGUGGUUUAAUUCGAUGAUACGCGAGGAACCUUACCUGGGUUUAAAUGUAUAUUGCAUUAAUCGGAAACAGUUUUUCUCUUCGGAGCUAUAUACAAGGUGCUGCAUGGUUGUCGUCAGCUCGUGCCGUGAGGUGUCGGGUUAAGUCCCAUAACGAAGCGCAACCCUUACCGUUAGUUGCUAGCAUGUAAUGAUGAGCACUCUAGCGGGACUGCCACCGUAAGGUGAGAGGAAGGGGGGGAUGACGUCAAAUCAGCACGGCCCUUACAUCCAGGGCGACACACGUGUUACAAUGGCCAUAACAGCGGGUAGCUACCGGGCGACCGGAUGCAAAUCUCGAAAAUUGGUCUAAGUUCGGAUUGGAGUCUGCAACCCGACUCCAUGAAGUUGGAUUCGCUAGUAAUCGCGCAUCAGCCAUGGCGCGGUGAAUACGUUCCCGGGCCUUGUACACACCGCCCGUCAAGCCAUGGAAGCUGGGAGUACCUGAAGUCCGUAACCGCGAGGAUCGGCCUAGGGUAAUACCGGUAACUGGGGCUAAGU